rnacentral:misc_RNA from 1 species
CAUUAAAUGAAAGUCCGAGCGAGGUUGUAGCUGGCCCCCCCUCUGGGGGUGCAACGUGCACGCCUUGUCUCCAUCUUCAUCUCUCUCUCACCCCUGUGCAUCUCUGCGUGAGUUCGGAGCGUUGGUUCGCUUCGGACUUGCGUCCUUUUCCACAACAAACCCCAUCGCAUGUAUCGGAACGUCUCAUACUUUGCUGUCGAAGCAAAUAUUGUACAACUUUCAACAACGGAUCUCUUGGCUCUCGCAUCGAUGAAGAACGCAGCGAAAUGCGAUAAGUAAUGUGAAUUGCAGAAUUCAGUGAAUCAUCGAAUCUUUGAACGCACCUUGCGCCUCUUGGUAUUCCGAGGGGCACGCCUGUUUGAGUAUCGUGAAAUUCUCAACCCCAAUGCCUUUUGGUUUUUGGGCUUGGACUUUGGAGGUCUUUGCUGGUUCCCCCUUUGCUUUGGGGAUCGGCUCCUCUUGAAUGCAUUAGUGGAGCUUUCAUCGUCUGCUCUGCCUCUCGGUGUGAUAAUUCAUCUGCGCCGACGUGAGAGAAGAAAGGAAAGUGCCGCUUCGAACCGUCUCGUUUCGAGACUUUUUGAACCCUUUGAUCUCAAAUCAGGCGGGACUACCCGCUGAACUUAAGCAUAU